rnacentral:tRNA from 3 species
GGGCGUGUAGCUCAAUGGUAGAGCAGCCGUCUUAUACACGGCUGGUUCUAGGUUCGAGUCCUAGCACGCCCA